GGACAUUGGCGUCUUCCACUUGUCCUUUGCUCUGCCGUCUGCCUAUCAAAAACUGGUAUUUCAUUCUCCGUCACCACAAAGCUUUCACUCAGAGUUCAGUGAAAUGGAAGGGGGAUUGAAGCCGAUGGAUGCAGAGCAACUGCGAGAGUAUGGUCACAAGAUGGUAGAUUUCAUUGCUGAUUACUACAAAAACAUUGAGAAUUUCCCCG
rnacentral:misc_RNA from 1 species